rnacentral:lncRNA from 1 species
UCAUAUCAUGUACUGUCUUCAUAUACAGAAAUCUUCUCAUCACAUUGACUUUGCUUAUACUUACAUGUGCAAUGAAAGGACAUCAACAUAUCAGUAAGAAUUUAGUAAGCUACUAUCAGUGGUUUCUGAGCAAAUAUGUGAUCCACUGUCCCCUCCAAAUAUGCCACUCAGUACUUUAAGGAGAGGAGUGUCAAAAAUAAAACAGAGAAAAAUAACUUCAGAAAUUCAGAACCACUAAGGACUGCAUUAAUUAAACUUACUCUGUAAGUUUACUAAUGAUGAAGAUGAUGAUGAUGCUGAGUAUUCAAGGCACGCGGUGAGAACGGAAAAUUCAUGAAAUAUGAGAAGACUUAAACCAGUUUAUUUCACCGAAGAAAUGCCUCAAGGAAGUCACCUGCCUCACUGGUAUUCUCAGCCAUAUAAUAGAGAGUUUUGGUAGAGCUAUUUAAGGUGCUCCAGCUACAAAUGCAUUUUUUCAUCAUUUGUCAUCCACAAAACAGUGACCAGACAGAACACAUCCAGAAGAUAUUUGAAAGACACCUUCAGAGCCCUCUCCCCAGAAGUAGAGUGGUGAAAAAUGACAGACGGUGAUGGAGUAAGAAAAUCUCACCCUGCAGCACUUACAUUAUGACCUUAUAAUAUUUUGGUUUGUGUUUAAUUAUCUUCUUAUGCCAAUAAUCUUAUGCAUCUUAUGUUAUUUCAGAUAAUAAACUUAGACAAAAGAA